rnacentral:lncRNA from 1 species
CUGAAAGUUAAAAUUUUAGCCAGUUAAGAGCCACAGUUUCCAACAUGCAGGAGGAAUGAACUGCCCUUUAAAAGUAAUCACCUCUUUCCAGCCUGCGGUUCUGAUGAGGUUCUUUUGCUGUAAGGAAUAGUAACUCACACAUCUGCUUUAUUCUUUUCAGUUGUUCUUGUGUCUGUUUCCUGAGAGGAAAAAUCUGCUUGUUUAACUCACUUUGUCAUAUCAGACCGCAUCACACGUCACUGGCAAGCCAGGGAGUCAUCUGCCUUUGGCUCCGGGGUGCCUUGUGGCUGGUCGGAAGUCAGCAGCAUCAAGCAGUGUGAACAUUAACCCCCGGCGCCCCUUUCGCUGUAUUGCACAGUUGCUUAAGAGCAUUGGGUCAACAGUCAGACUGUUUGGGGUCAAAUCCCAGCUCCUCCACUAGCUGUGUGACCUUGGGCCAUCUCUAACUAAACUUGUUUAUCUUUAAAACAGGUAUAAUAAGGCCAGUGUCACAGAGUUCUUAGGAAAAGUAACAAGUCAAUGGAAUAAAAGGAAUUGUACUGAGAAGAGGCUCUCUCGGAGACUCUCAAGAAGCUGUGUCAGGACUACCAGUCAGAGGCCUUUUUAACUCAGAAAACAUUUAAAGUUUUUUUUUUUUUUUUCAAUGGGAAAAUAAGUAAAUAAGUAAAAUUUCUCAACUUCGCAUUCGAGAAGUUCUGCUGGCACUCACUACCUUUGAGAGACUAUCUCUGGGCAAUGUCACACUGUCCUAUUAGACAUCUGAAAAUAAAAUUCACCUGUGCCUUUCCCUUACCCCCUCAAUCACCCCUCUGCCCUUGGAAUUCAGGUAACAGAAACACAAAUGUUAUAAAUUUGGCAGUGGCCAACUUUCCUGAGAAAUAUGGUUUGGCAUUCAAAGGAAUUUGGCAAUUUGUACUCAGUCUUUUUAAAUGGCAUUUACUGCUAACCUUGACAUAAUUCAGGUACAAGACUUCAGAUUCAUCUGAAUCAACUUCAGGUUUCUUGUUUUUAUGGACUUCAAGCAGCUGCUAUCCACAGACCAAAACACACAAUUCUUAUGCUGGAUACCCUCAAGUUUUUGGCUUUUAAGCAAGUAAUAACUCCAGUCUGUGCUCCAUUUUAAUCAAAAUGAUAUAAUUAUGAGUCUGAAAUAAGAAAACUUGAAACUCAGGGAAACAUUUAAAGCAGACAUUUAACUUCUUCAAAAACAACAGAAACGAAGGUAAAUCUAUUUAUCAAGGUUAUAAAACUUUUGAGUUAUCUGAUCAUGGUGUAUUUCUUCCUGAGAAAAAUUGCAUUUACAUGCACAUACCCAAAACUUUGUCUUAGCUUCAUGGCCUUAUCCGUCUCUUUGUAAUUCAAUCCUUUCAAAUAUUUACCAGACAUAAGAAAAUGUUGUAAGUCACAUAUAAAUUGGAGGUAAAUUUCUGGAGUUGCAUGAAUGUAAUAGCUAGUGAAACCUAACAGAUAAAGCAGACAUAAUUGAAGACCACCCAAAAAGCAAAAUUCAGUUACCGAUCACUUCACAAGAGACUGCUUAAGGAGAUCCUCAUGACUGCCUGCCUUGCCCAAAAUGUUCUUGAAUCUUAUCAAUGUGCCAUCACUAUGAUAUUUUUUAAUAUGAUCACUUUUUAAAUAUUUACACAAUCACAUGACCUUCAGUUUUUAAAUCUCAAAAACGGUUAUAGGGCCAGGCGUGGUGGCUCAUGCCUGCAAUCCCAGCACUUUGGGAGGCCGAGGUGGGCGGAUCACAAGGUCAAGAGAUCGAGACCAUCCUGGCUAACACAGUGAAACCCCGUCUCUACAAAAAAUACAAAAAAUUAGACGGGCGUGGUGGCAGGUGCCUGUAGUCCCAGCUACUCGGGAGGCUGAGACAGGAGAAUGGCGUGAACCCAGGAGGCGGAGCUUGCAGUGAGCCGAGAUCGUGCCACUGCUCUCCAGCCCGGGCGACAGAGCGAGACUCCAUCUCAAAAAAACAAACAAACAAACAAAAAAAGGUUAUAAUAUGCCAUCUUUGCAGGGUGGUUGUGAGCGUCAAAUGAAAAAUGUCUAUAAAAUGCCUGGCAGGGCCAGCGUGGUGGCUCGCGCUGGUAAUCCCACCAGUUUAGGAGGCCGAGGUGGGUGGAUCACCUGAGGUUAGGAGUUCGAGACCAGCCUGACCAAUAUGGUGAAACCCUGUCUCUACUAAAAAUACAAAAAUUAGCCAGGCGUGGCAGCAUGUGCCUGUAGUCCCAGCUACUUGGGAGGCUGUGGCUGGAGAACUGCUUGAACCCAGGAGGCAGAGGUUGCAGUCAGCUGAGAUUGAGCCACUGCACUCCAGCCUGGGCAACAGAGCAAGAUUCAAAAAAAAAAGAAAAAAAAAAAUGCCUGGCAGAAUAAUUAGCAAAGAGUAAGUUUGCAAAUGUUUAAGGUUCAUUUUGAAGAAGACAUUUUCAAUAGUUAAACAGACCCACAGGGAAGUGUAAGACAAAAACUAUAAUAUGUACUUUGAUAUACUCUAACCAAAUUCAUUAUAUCUCAUUCCUUGGUACUCCACAGAUAUUCCUUAUUAUUUAGCAAUAAAAUCAUCUUGUUCUAACUUCUUCAAAUACUUCUGAAUCAAAAAUAAACUUACUUUUUGCUACCUGAAAGAACAUGGUGAGAUUUAAUUAACAAUGUGUAAAAUGCUUUGAAAUUAUGCAUUAAUGAUGCCACAAAUAUUCAGCUAUGUUUCUAUAGUUGGGAAACAAGAAUGCAAAAAAAAAUUCAAAUGAACUGUUUACUGAUAAAAAAUUCUUAAGCAUUGAAAAUUAUUUAUUUAUUUAUUUAUUUAUUUAUUUAUUUAUUUAUUUAUUUUGAGACACUUUCACUCUGUCACCCAGGCUAAAGUGCAGUGGCACAAUCUCGGCUCACUGCAACCUCUGC